UACAGAGGUCUCAAGCGUUGUUCGGAUUCAUUGGGCGUAAAGGGUGCGUAGGCGGCGCGGUAAGUCGGGUGUGAAAUCUCGGAGCUUAACUCCGAAACUGCAUUCGAUACUGUGGUGCUUGAGGACUGGAGAGGAGACUGGAAUUCAUGGUGUAGCAGUGAAAUGCGUAGAGAUCACGAGGAAGACCAGUGGCGAAGGCGGGUCUCUGGACAGUUCCUGACACUGAGGCACGAAGGCCAGGGGAGCAAACGGG
rnacentral:rRNA from 1 species